GGCGUCACAAAAGGAUGGGGUGAAGGCAUGGUGGAGUCUAGGGCCACUAUGUGAGAGACAGUAGCAAGAAAACUGUGGGCUGUGCUGGAGGAGGACGCAGUCAGUUGGAAUAGAAACUGUUCGCUGCCAAUGAAGAUGCAGUCUCCCUCUCAAUGCAUCUUCUUCUACUUAAUCUCUAUUCCACCUCUGGGCCAUCAUUUUGAAAUAUACACUACCUGGAAAAAAGGCCUCUAGAGGAAAUAUGAUUCCUCAACAUAUUUUAUGGCUUCCCUAGACGCCUAAAACAAUCAGGCAGCAGAUCUUUCUGGACCUCCAAACUGCACUGCUAUUUUUGCUGUAUGAAAACCUUGGAAUCAUUUGCCAUCUUUAAUUUGCUGUGAGCACCUGAAAUAAACACGUACUGAUAUUUUUGGCAUUCUGCAGAUAAUAGCACUGUAUGAAUCUUCAAACAGAAAGGUGAAGGCUGUCCAUAACCUGUCGAGUACAGGAUAAUGCCUUCAAAGCGAUGCAUUCUUUGCUUGUUUAGACCUGAUGAAAAUGC